rnacentral:rRNA from 1 species
GAGUUUGAUCUUGGCUCAGAUUGAACGCUGGCGGCAGGCCUAACACAUGCAAGUCGAGCGGAUGAAGGGAGCUUGCUCCUGGAUUCAGCGGCGGACGGGUGAGUAAUGCCUAGGAAUCUGCCUGGUAGUGGGGGAUAACGUCCGGAAACGGGCGCUAAUACCGCAUACGUCCUGAGGGAGAAAGUGGGGGAUCUUCGGACCUCACGCUAUCAGAUGAGCCUAGGUCGGAUUAGCUAGUUGGUGGGGUAAAGGCCUACCAAGGCGACGAUCCGUAACUGGUCUGAGAGGAUGAUCAGUCACACUGGAACUGAGACACGGUCCAGACUCCUACGGGAGGCAGCAGUGGGGAAUAUUGGACAAUGGGCGAAAGCCUGAUCCAGCCAUGCCGCGUGUGUGAAGAAGGUCUUCGGAUUGUAAAGCACUUUAAGUUGGGAGGAAGGGCAGUAAGUUAAUACCUUGCUGUUUGACGUUACCAACAGAAUAAGCACCGGCUAACUUCGUGCCAGCAGCCGCCGUAAAACC